rnacentral:rRNA from 1 species
CCCUUUGAUACUCUGGGCGGCACGCGCGCUACAAUGGAUGACAAAACGUGAAACACUACCGAAAGGUUCGUUAGUAAAUCACAAAUGUUAAGUCUCGAGUGGGAUAGUUUGUUGCAAUUAAAGACUUGAACUAGGAAUCCCUUGUAGGUACACUGAAGCAUAGUGUACCGAAUACGUCCCUGCCGUUUGUACACACCGCCCGUCGCACCUACCGAUUGAAUGGUCCGGUGAAGCCUCCGGAUUGGCGCGCACCUCGGUGCCGCCGAGAAGUUGGCUAAACCUUACCAUUUAGAGGAAGGUGAAGUCGUAACA